rnacentral:rRNA from 1 species
AGUGAACGCUGGCGGCGUGCUUAAUACAUGCAAGUCGAACGAUGAAGUCCUAGCUUGCUAGAAUGGAUUAGUGGCGCACGGGUGAGUAAUAUAUAGUUAAUCUGCCUUGCACUGAGGAACAACAGUUGGAAACGAUUGCUAAUACCUCAUACUCCAACUUUACAUAAGUUAAGUUGGGAAAGUCUUUUCGGUGCAAGAUGAGACUAUAUCGUAUCAGCUAGUUGGUAAGGUAAUGGCUUACCAAGGCUAUGACGCGUAACUGGUCUGAGAGGAUGAUCAGUCACAUUGGAACUGAGACACGGUCCAAACUCCUACGGGAGGCAGCAGUAAGGAAUAUUGUGCAAUGGGGGAAACCCUGACGCAGCAACGCCGCGUGGAGGAUGACACUUUUCGGAGCGUAAACUCCUUUUGUUAGGGAAGAAUAAUGACGGUACCUAACGAAUAAGCACCGGCUAACUCCGUG